CCUACGGGGGGCUGCAGUGGGGAAUAUUGGACAAUGGGGGCAACCCUGAUCCAGCCAUGCCGCGUGUGUGAAGAAGGCCCUCGGGUUGUAAAGCACUUUCAGUGAGGAAGAACGCCUGGUGGUUAAUACCCAUCAGGAAAGACAUCACUCACAGAAGAAGCACCGGCUAACUCCGUGCCAGCAGCCGCGGUAAUACGGAGGGUGCGAGCGUUAAUCGGAAUUACUGGGCGUAAAGCGCGCGUAGGUGGCUUGAUAAGCCGGUUGUGAAAGCCCCGGGCUCAACCUGGGAACGGCAUCCGGAACUGUCAAGCUAGAGUGCAGGAGAGGAAGGUGGAAUUCCCGGUGUAGCGGUGAGAUGCGUAGAGAUCGGGAGGAAUACCAGUGGCGAAGGCGGCCUUCUGGACUGACACUGACACUGAGGUGCGAAAGCGUGGGUAGCAAACAGGAUUAGAUACCCUUGUAGUC
rnacentral:rRNA from 1 species